UGAGGAAUAUUGGUCAAUGGACGAGAGUCUGAACCAGCCAAGUAGCGUGCAGGAUGACGGCCCUAUGGGUUGUAAACUGCUUUUGUUUGGGAAUAAUCGACAUUACGUGUAAUGUUUUGCAUGUACCAUUCGAAUAAGGACCGGCUAAUUCCGUGCCAGCAGCCGCGGUAAUACGGAAGGUCCAGGCGUUAUCCGGAUUUAUUGGGUUUAAAGGGAGUGUAGGCGGUUGGUUAAGCUUGUUGUGAAAUGUAGAUGCUCAACAUCUGACUUGCAGCGGGAACUGGCUGACGUGAGUACACACAACGUAGGCGGAAUUCAUGGGGUAGCGGUGAAAUGCUUAGAUAUCAUGAAGAACUCCGAUUGCGAAGGCAGCUUACGGGGGUGUUACUGACGCUUAAGCUCGAAGGUGCGGGUAUCGAACAGG
rnacentral:rRNA from 1 species